rnacentral:rRNA from 1 species
UACGGGGGGGGCAAGCGUUGUUCGGAAUUACUGGGCGUAAAGGGCGCGUAGGCGGCCUGCUAAGUCGGACGUGAAAUCCCCCGGCUCAACCGGGGAACUGCGUCCGAUACUGGUGGGCUCGAAUCCGGGAGAGGGAUGUGGAAUUCCAGGUGUAGCGGUGAAAUGCGUAGAUAUCUGGAGGAACACCGGUGGCGAAGGCGGCAUCCUGGACCGGCAUUGACGCUGAGGAGCGAAAGCUAGGGGAGCAAACGGG